UGCAGCCUUGUCAAAUUCAGUGGGAACUUUUUCAUAGAGCUCACUGGCCAAAAUGGCUGCUACAAUAUCUGUAGUUCAUGGGCAUCAUCUCUUUACGCUGUAGGAUUUGGUGAUAAAUUUGUACUACAGACAAAC